rfam:Tstilago hordei, Th4857-4, WGS project CAGI01000000 data, contig: THOR_scaffold_5.00014
GCCAGCUUAGCUCAGUGGUAGAGCGUUUGUCUUGUACCUGGACACUGCAAUAGUGUUGCACAAGAACCAUGUGGAACAAAAGGUCACUCGUUCAAACCGGGUAGUUGGCA